AUUGCUUCUCGGCCUUUUGGCUAAGAUCAAGUGUAGAAGUUUCAGAAACUCUUAAAUGGGAAAAAAAUUAUGCAUAGAUUUGGCUGACUUCGAGGUGGGUGGGCAUGCCCUACUGUUUUCCUUUCUUUUGAGGUCUUUUUCUGAUCCCCUCCUAUUGGAUUCUGAC
rnacentral:snRNA from 1 species